rnacentral:tRNA from 1 species
CCCUGGUUAGUUCAGUUGGUAGAGCGCUCCACCUGUAAUGGAGAGGUCCCGGGUUCGAUACCCGGACCAGGCG